CACUAAGUGCUCGUAUACUAAGUAAACGGUUCGAAUGGAAAUGUUCAACGAAAAAACGUUCGUUAAAAUGUGCUCUAUGGUUCGAGAGAAGAGACAGAAAAUAAACGUUGCGACACCCCGCUUAAUACGUAUCCUUGAAUUAAAAAAAUUAUUUUUUGGUUUUUCCAUUUAGACAGAGAGGUAAUCUGUGUAUAUAGAGGCAUACUGGAUCAAAAAGACCAUUUGAGCGUUGUAUGCAGCAAAUUUGUAAAAGUCCUUCAUUGUCCUUAACUCAAACAAAAAUUAGUCCGGGCUUGACUGUAUUUAUUACAGACGUGCUUGGCUAUCUGUUGAGUUGACUGGUUUGCGCCAAAACAAUCAAUAGAGAAACAAUCACAGAUGGCGCUAGAUUGACCAUACACACCAUACACAGUAAAAUGACUAUGUCAAAUAAGUAUUGACAGCGUUUGACGUUAAUGAAUGUAAACAAAAAGGAACAGCUGAAUUUUUUUAAACAUAUAAAGACUGUUGAUUCAAGAAUUUUUUCUUGCAAUUUGCUGGGUUUCAACUCUACUGAUCGUAGUUUUGGUCAUCACAACAGUUCUCCUAUACGCAGCCUGGAAACUGUUGAUCAACCGUUUCACAAUAUCCGGAAGAGUCGCGCCAACUAAGACAUCAAAUCAACCGAAGGAUAUGCGGUUGAGGUCAAAUGUAAAUAAAUUUUGUGUACAGCGCUCGUUCUGUGUGUUGAGAAUUGUAUAUAUUUUGUGAAAUCCGCAUGUCAUAUAAUCAUGGCAAUAACUUGUACUGAAUAUGGCAACGCUCAGCCGUCUUCAUCCCAUUCGGAUAAUUGCCAAAUGGAAGAUGCACAUGCACAAUCACUCAUACAACUAUCUAACAACAACACCAUCAGCAACAACACCAUAACCAUUCGGUUUCUGAAUUUUGCCGACUGUGAGUCGGCGAAUGAUUGGACCUUGAUAAUGAUACUUAUUUUAGGCAUAGCAAUGUCUUGUUUCAUAGGCUUUGUCAUUGUCAUAUUCACAAAAUAAAAUGAAUU